rnacentral:lncRNA from 1 species
CGCCCCCGCGCAGCCCUCCAGGACUGCUUUCAGCACCCGAGUUCCCGCUCCCUGUGGCCACUGUCUCCGCGCCGUUCCAUAACCUGGGGUCUCGACUCUUCCCGCCUCCGCCCGCCGUCCUCGGACUCAGCCUCCCGGCGCAGAGAGCUUUGAAGACAAGCGGUGGAAUUAGCUGGUUGGGGACAGUUAAUAAGAAACCUCUAGCUUCUGCUCUCCAGUUACCUCCUAGGAUGUCCGGGAAGGAGACCCUCUUACCUGCCGCCUAAGACCCCCAAAAGGUGUCCUGGCCGGACAGUGGGGGAGGGCAGCAGAGAACAGCCCAUCCUUUCCUGUUAGCUCCCAAGCCUUUCAGCAUUUACUUCUACUCUCACCAGCCUGGCUUCAGUGCUCUGGAAAUGUGCCCUGGCCUUCCACACCAGGCUCUCUGGAGACCCCACUGAGAAUGUGUUCUCUUCUACUCCCACCCUAUCGACACGGUCCCAGUGCUUCCCUACUCUCUAGCAGGAUACCAGAUGGCGCCAGGACAACCAUAUCUCCUGAUAACUCCUAACCCUGACUGCCAGUUUGUGGAGACAAAUGAAGAUAACUAUACAUAAGGGGCCUGGUACAGGAACUGCACAUAGAAGACACCCCCCAUUCCUCAAAUUUUUUAAUAAAAAAUAUUAAAAAUAUAGUAUAUUAUAUGUACUUACAUAAUUUUGAGGCCCUAAACCAAAAGAAAUACAGUGAAGAAUCAAACAAAACAAAUCGACUCAGGUUCUAGGGGA